rnacentral:rRNA from 1 species
CCUACGGGAGGCAGCAGUGAGGAAUAUUGGUCAAUGGACGAGAGUCUGAACCAGCCAAGUAGCGUGAAGGAUGACUGCCCUAUGGGUUGUAAACUUCUUUUAUAUGGGAAUAAAAUCUUCCACGUGUGGGAUUUUGUAUGUACCAUAUGAAUAAGGAUCGGCUAACUCCGUGCCAGCAGCCGCGGUAAUACGGAGGAUCCGAGCGUUAUCCGGAUUUAUUGGGUUUAAAGGGAGCGUAGGUGGAUUGUUAAGUCAGUUGUGAAAGUUUGGGGCUCAACCGUAAAAUUGCAGUUGAUACUGGCAGUCUUGAGUACAGUAGAGGUGGGCGGAAUUCGUGGUGUAGCGGUGAAAUGCUUAGAUAUCACGAAGAACUCCGAUUGCGAAGGCAGUUCACUGGACUGCAACUGACACUGAGGCUCGAAAGUGUGGGUAUCAAACAGGAUUAGAUACCCGAGUAGUC